rfam:Cavia porcellus supercont2_435 genomic scaffold, whole genome shotgun sequence.
GGGGAUUUAGCUCACUGGCAUAAGCACCUGUCUUGCGAACAGGCGGUCAUGAGUUCAAUCCCUG